rnacentral:hammerhead_ribozyme from 1 species
AGCUGGCUGAUGAGUCCCAAAUAGGACGAAAUGAGCGUUGUCUCUGAU